rnacentral:rRNA from 3 species
GACGUCGCGAGAAGUUCACUGAACCUUAUCAUUUAGAGGAAGGAGAAGUCGUAACAAGGGUUUCCGUAGGUGAACCUGCGGAAGGAUCAUUG